rnacentral:rRNA from 1 species
UCUGUUGUUAGGAAGAACAAGUACCGUUCGAAUAGGGCGGUACCUUGACGGUACCUAACCAGAAAGCCACGGCUAACUACGUGCCAGCAGCCGCGGUAAUACGUAGGUGGCAAGCGUUGUCCGGAAUUAUUGGGCGUAAAGGGCUCGCAGGCGGUUUCUUAAGUCUGAUGUGAAAGCCCCCGGCUCAACCGGGGAGGGUCAUUGGAAACUGGGGAACUUGAGUGCAGAAGAGGAGAGUGGAAUUCCACGUGUAGCGGUGAAAUGCGUAGAGAUGUGGAGGAACACCAGUGGCGAAGGCGACUCUCUGGUCUGUAACUGACGCUGAGGAGCGAAAGCGUGGGGAGCGAACAGGAUUAGAUACCCUGGUAGUCCACGCCGUAAACGAUGAGUGCUAAGUGUUA